rnacentral:misc_RNA from 1 species
GUAGGUGAACCUGCGGAAGGAUCAUUACAGAGUUCAUGCCCUUACGGGUAGAUCUCCCACCCUUGAAUAUUAUACCUUAGUUGCUUUGGCAGGCCGUGGAAACACCAUGGGCUUCGGCUCGUGUGUGCCUGCCAGAGGAAACAAACUCUGUUUUUAGUGAUGUCUGAGUACUAUAUAAUAGUUAAAACUUUCAACAACGGAUCUCUUGGUUCUG